rnacentral:rRNA from 1 species
CCUACGGGAGGCAGCAGUGGGGAAUUUUGCACAAUGGGGGAAACCCUGAUACAGCAACGCCGCGUGGAGGAUGAAGUCCCUUGGGACGUAAACUCCUUUCGACCGGGACGAUAAUGACGGUACCGGUGGAAGAAGCCCGGCUAAUUCCGUGCCAGCAGCCGCGGUACAUACAUCCUACGGGAGGCAGCAGUAGGGAAUCUUCCGCAAUGGGCGAAAGCCUGACGGAGCAACGCCGCGUGAGUGAUGAAGGUCUUCGGAUCGUAAACU